rnacentral:tRNA from 1 species
GGUUGUGGCUCAGUGGUAGAGCACUUGCCUAACAUGUGUGAGGCACUGUGUUCAAUUCUCAGCACCA